AUGGCUGCAAAGAAGAAGACAAUGGGUGCAAAGAAGAAGGCCUCGAGCCGUUCUGAGGACUCUGAGGACUCUGAAGAAUUAAGGCAUGUUCCCCUGUAGGGCGUCCUCUUAUAGUUUCACCAACAAAUUCGACCCCAUCACCCUUGAACGUCCCAAAGUGCUAUUUCCAUUAGUAAAUGUGCCCAUGAUUUGCUACACCUUGGCUUGGCUCAAGUCUGCUGGCGUCAAGGAGGUCUUUGUUUUGUGCUGCUCUCACUCCAAGCAAGUGAUCAGUUAUCUGGAGAACCACCCUGAACGAUCUUGUGCUAGUGCUGGAGAUGCCCUGCGUUUGAUAUAUGAGCGCGAUGUGAUCCAUGGAGAUUUUGCCCUCAUAAGUGGGGAUACUGUAAUUGACAUGUCCCUUACUCAAGUGCUGCAGGACCAUAAAGAGAGAAGAAAGAAGGAUAAGAAUGCUGUUAUGACAAUUGUUGUCAAACCUUCUCAAAUCGUGACACACCAAUCUCGAUUACUCGGCAAUGAUGAGCUGUUUAUGGCAAUAGAUCCUAGCACAAAGCAGCUCUUUUGUUACAAGGAUAAGGCAGACCAUGCAAAGGAAUCUAUAUUUUGUCUUGAUAAGACAAUGCUUGCUGGUAAAUCUGCGAUUUCGCUGCAUUAUGACAGAGAGGAUUGCUACAUUGACGUCUGCUCUCCUGAAGUUAGCCUUCUCUCAGAUAAUUUCGAUUACCAAGAUCUUCGUCGUGAUUUAUUGGGUGGAUUGCUUGAAGAUGACGUUAUGGGAUACAAGAUAUUCACACAUGAAAUUGACUCGAGUAGUUAUGCUGCUAAGGUUGACAAUUUCCGAAGCUAUGAUACAAUUAGCAAGGACAUAAUUCAGAGAGGGACUUACCCAUCCUCGACACCAGCUGUUCAGGUUAAAGAAAUCGGACGUGGCACCAAGAUUGGGGACAGUACCGAAAUUCUAAGCUCUGUUAUUGGGAGAGGGUGUUCUAUUGGGUCAAAUGUUUCCAUAGAAGGUUGUUAUAUAUGGGACAAUGUAACCAUUGAAGAUGGAUGCAAGCUAAAACAUGUUGUAGUUUGUGAUGGAGUGGUCAUCAAGUCCGGGACAGUUUUGGAACCUGGAGUAGUUUUGUCUUUCCAGGUUGUUCUAGGAGAACAAUGCACUAUUCCUUCAUAUUUAAAGGUAUCAUUACUUCAGCAACCAACUGAGCAAGAUGGUUAUGAUGAGGAGCUGGAGUAUGUCGCCAAUAAUAGCAAUGCAGAAAUCUCAUCCCCUAUUGAUUGUGAUGUAAAUAAACCAAAUGAGCUCGGUACUAAUGGGGCUCUGGUUGUGUUUGCAAACUACAAGAUACACUUUCUAACAGUUUGUGAUGAAGAUUGGAGAAACUCAAUUGCUCCUAUUCCUGCAGAGAAACUUGCUGAGGCAAUACGUGCCGCUGAGGAGGAGGAUCAGGAGUACUUUGCACAAGAUGGCAGCAGUCUUGGAGAGCUGGAACUUGAAUCUAGUGAUUCUGAAGACAACUGUAAUGAAGACGAUUCUGACUUUGAGAAUGAGGUUGAAGCAACCUUCCUAACAGCUGUGCAUGAAAAUAAAACACUAGAUCAUGUGGUGUUGGAAGUAAACGCGCUGCGAUUGUCAUUCAACAAGCAAACUGCAGAUUGUGCUGGAGCUAUAUUUUACUCCGUGAUGAAAUUGGCAUUGGAAGCUCCACAUGAAUCGGCAAGCGAAUUGGUGCGAGCUGCUGCCAAGGUAAUUUCAGAAUGAAACACCUGCUCAAGUAUUACCUAUCAGAAAUAGAUGAGGAGAUAGAAGUGAUAAUGAAGUUUGAAGAAAUGUGUUUGGAGUCUACCAAGGAAUUUGCCUUUGUGUUCGAUAAGAUAUUGGAUCAACUCUAUGAUCAAGAAGUUAUCCAAGAAGAAGCCAUUCUCAGGUGGGUUGAAGAAAAGACAAAUGCAGAUGAAUCAGAUAAAGUUUUCGUCAGGCAGGCCGAAAAUUUUGUCCCAUGGUUGAGAGAGGCAGAAGAAGAGGAGUAG